ACACCGUUGGUGAAGCGGUCAUCAUGGUUGCCUUCUACCAGGGCACUUGAUGGCUCUUGGAUAGCAAGCGGCUCGGGUUCGAUUCCCGAGCAGUGUA